rnacentral:rRNA from 1 species
UGGGGAAUUUUGGACAAUGGGCGCAAGCCUGAUCCAGCAAUGCCGCGUGAGUGAAGAAGGCCUUCGGGUUGUAAAGCUCUUUCAGUCGAGAAGAAAAGGCUGCAGUGAAUAACUGUAGUUCAUGACGGUAUCGACAGAAGAAGCACCGGCUAACUACGUGCCAGCAGCCGCGGUAAUACGUAGGGUGCGAGCGUUAAUCGGAAUUACUGGGCGUAAAGGGUGCGCAGGCGGUUUUGUAAGUCAGAUGUGAAAUCCCCGGGCUUAACCUGGGAAUUGCGUUUGAAACUACAAGACUAGAGUGUGGCAGAGGGAGGUGGAAUUCCAUGUGUAGCAGUGAAAUGCGUAGAGAUAUGGAAGAACAUCGAUGGCGAAGGCAGCCUCCUGGGUUAACACUGACGCUCAUGCACGAAAGCGUGGGGAGCAAACAGGAUUAGAUACCCUGGUAGUCCACGCCCUAAACGAUGUCAACUAGUUGUUGGGCCUUAUUAGGCUUAGUAACGAAGCUAACGCGUGAAGU